rnacentral:rRNA from 1 species
UACGUAGGGUGCGAGCGUUGUCCGGAAUUAUUGGGCGUAAAGGGCUCGUAGGCGGUUUGUCGCGUCGGGAGUGAAAACCUCGGGCUUAACUCGGGGCUUGCUUUCGAUACGGGCAGACUGGAGGUAUGCAGGGGAGAACGGAAUUCCUGGUGUAGCGGUGGAAUGCGCAGAUAUCAGGAGGAACACCGGUGGCGAAGGCGGGUCUCUGGGCAGUAACUGACGCUGAGGAGCGAAAGCGUGGGGAGCGAACAGG